GAGGACAUAGCUCAGUGGUAGAAUGCAUGCCUGGCAUCCAUCAGUGAGGUCCUGGGUUCAGUCCCCGGUAUCUUCA
rnacentral:tRNA from 1 species